rfam:Dipodomys ordii contig_51748, whole genome shotgun sequence.
ACCACUGAGCCACCUUCCCAGCCCCUGGCACAUUUUUAUAAGAGUUUUAUUGUGGGCUGGGAAGGUGGCUCAGUGGU